rnacentral:rRNA from 1 species
AAAAAUAAAAUCAAAUAAAUUUUAUUAAUUAUUUUACAAUUAAAUUCACCUUAAAAUUAAUAUUUCAAUUAAUUAACUGUAAUAAAUAAAAAUUUAUUGUAACUCAUUUUUACUAAAAUAUAAACUGCAUCUUGACCUGACAUUAACUAUAUUUUUUAAAUUAAGAAAUUUUUUUUCCUUUUAGAAUAUUCAAUAACGGCGAUAUACAAAUUAUAUUAAUUUUAGUAAGGUAUACGUGGAUUAUCGAUUAAAAAACAAAUUCCUCUAAAUAAAUUAAAAUACCGCCAAAUUCUUUAAGUUUAAAGAUCAUAACUAUUACUACUUUAGUAAAAAAAAAAUAUUAAAUAAUAGGGUAUCUAAUCCUAGUUUAAAACUAAAAUUUUUAUAGUUUCAAUAAUUUUUAAUAAUAUAAAAUUUAUUAUAUUUAAAAUUUCACCUAAAAAAUAUAAAUUAUUUUUAUAAAAAAAAAAUGGUACAUUUAACUAAAACUAAAUAACUUUAUUUAUAUUAUUUG